AAAAACACUCCCUAUCCUCUUCUUCUCCUCUCCUGUAAAACGUUAGCAGUUGCCUCCCUUAUCCUCUCCAACUCCGACCCUAAUAUGUAAUCUCUCUGUGAUUUUCCUUCCAUAUAUGCUGCACCUCUUCGUUACUUACAUCGUAUAGUUUCAAUUAGUACUUGCCUAUUUUGGCAACAACCAGGUCUUCAGUCAAGUAUAAUCAUCCCCAAAUCUUCAAGAUCCAGAUUGUGUUUCGUCUAUAUGCAUUUAUAGUAAAGUUAUACAUGUCCAAUUCAGUGAGAUUCUUUGAUUAUUUUUUCUCUAUAUGGAGCUACGAUUUGCUUGAUUUUUCUCCUAAAUUAAUUAUAAUUCGGUUUUGCAUGCUUUGCUUCCUUGUUUGUGUUUGGUUGACUGUAUUUCCUUAUUUGUGUGAUUAUUUUUACUACUAUAUAAAUCCACAUUUCCCUGUUUCCCCUCAAGACUUAACAACUAUUGCUAAAACUACUGUUACCACUAUUGUUCUCUCACUCUUACACUUUCUAUACUAUUCUUCAUUCUUUGUUGUUGUCAGCUGAAAGCCAAGGCCACCAGAUUCCUCUCUAUCAACCUCCCUAGUGCGAGCACUGCUCAAGGAUCAUUUGAAGCUCCUCUAAAUUCUACGCGCUAGGAUUUGGGUCCUUUGGUUGUUAUUUUUUACUUCUGAUAUUCAAGUUGUCGCUGGCACUUAGUCUUGUCUUUUAUUUUGUUUGUUGAAUCUGCGAACUGGUGAGUAUCUCGAUUCUUGCAAUUCUAUAUUCUUUUGCUUGUAUUCAGUGCUCUGCAUAUCCAUGUCGUUCAAAUUUUGUGAGCCAAUAUAACUUCAACAAUGUGUUAUUUUCAUUGGAAAUUUUACUUGCUUUAUGCUAUUCUGCAGUUCGGAAUCUUGUAGUGUCACAACCUGCCAAGAUUUUUAAACUUCAAUAAAUGCUCAGUUUCAAUAGUUUUGUACUUCUUAAUGUCUGCUCUGUGUUCUGAUUAUUUAUUGUAUAUAUUUUCUCAUGACUUGUCUUAAGAUUCUUGCACUGAAAUUCUUAGGGAAUCAUCACUGAAAUUCUUAGGGAACCAUCUCCUGCCUAAAACCCGUUUCAAUGAACUUCUCAUGAUAAAUCCUUUAUGUGGGCUCUAAAUUUCACCUGCUUACAUGAACCCUAUUGUUGUCGCAGUGUUUUAACCAAACCUGUUGCUUUUUCGUUAAGAACUAUACUUUCAUAUUUGGCCAAUCUUGUAUUCUUUGGUAUUGCUUAUCCUUCUUAUGAAUUUUUUGCUUUGCUGUUUGUUGUGUGUAAUUGCUGUUACCUGACUAUGACUAUGUCUGACCUGCAUGACUUAGACUCUUAGUUUCAAAAACCAUUUUUGGUGAACUAUGUAUCAUGCUCUAUUCUGAACUCAUUUUGGAAAGUUUAGCAUGUUUAUAUCGUAUAUGUCUAGUAUAUUUACCCGUGAACCCCAAAUGUCAUGUCUUUCCAACUCUCUUAAUGUGUUGUUCAUGCUCAACAUGCUAUUACCUACUGAAUGAUUGAACCUGUAGUGUUAGCUUGCCAUAUCAACUUGCAAUGUUGAAAUUAAGCCUUACUGAUUCUCCUAGUUUAUCCUGUCACUCUUGCUUCUAAAAUGCAAAUGCUCUUUCCUGUAAAUCCUGUCAUCUAAUCUCUAUGGGAGUUUCUGUUUUAGUAGGUUCCAGAAUCAUUUAAGUGCUUGCUAUGUGUGGUUCCUCAAUUUAUGUAGUUAAGUUGUUAAUCUGCAAAUUACUGGGUAAGUGGGACUUCCAUUUGGAUUUGGUAUGGGUCCAAGUAUUGGCCUGAGCUAUGCAAUCGAUAAACUCUAAUGUUUGAGUUGAGUUUGGGUCUGGGUCUGCUGCUUGCGUGAGGGAUGAGCCUGCUGAAGGUCGGGCAGUACUGGGUUAUCUCCUCUUGGGCCUGCUCUAUUUAUUGGGCAUGUAGUCAUUUUGAUUCUAUAAUAUUUAAGCUUGUUUUUUUCUUUUUAUCUUCGGGAAUGUAAUAAUAUUUAAACAAAUAAUUGGGGAGUUAGUGAAAUUGGGGAAGCGGGUAUACUUUAAUUUCCACCUAAAUGGGUAGAAACCUGUCCAUAGGAUUUAUGUGCUUUGCCUGUUAUUUGUUUAACAUGCUUUAAUUCUGUACACUAAUAGAAAUCAUGCCUAUAGGAAAUUACACACUUCACUUAACUUGUCUAAUACUACCCUAUCCAAAAGUAUGUUGGUUAGAGUAAUUGCUUUACCCGCUUCUAUGUAUACUUCUAUGUGUUAUUAGAAAACAUGCCUAUAAGAAUCAAAUGUCAAUAACUAUUGUCUUAGUUGUGUCAUUGCAAUAUGAUCACUAGAUAACAUGCCUAUAGGAUGCAAUAAUAUA
rnacentral:lncRNA from 1 species